ACCUCCUCCUGGCCGCUGGACGUCUCUCCUUCCUAGCCUUCGCCUGUCCCUCCUCCCCUGCCCGCUACCCCCACAGACAGGCACGUUGCUACCUCCUCCAUGCCCUAGGAGAAGCCGCAGGGCCCGCCACCCCUCACCAUGUUCGGCGUUGACGACCAGGAGGUGGAGCCAUGAAUGAUAUAUCCUAGGUACACCUCCAGCUUCCCUUACCAUCUCCUUGGCCUCUUCCUCCCCCCCAUUGGCCUUCUCCUUCUGAUGAAUCAUUUUACCUAGAUUUGUCACUGCUUGCUAAUCGUUGCUCCAACCGUUGAGUUUGCGCGGUGGAUUUCUUUUCCUAGCAUCAACACAUGUAAAACAGGGGAGAUUUAGAUCCAACACAUCAGCGAAGUGGCACCCUUGCUGGCAAAAUAAUACGUCUAGGUCUCGUAGAACACCUAACACUGGUAAGUACUCCUAAUAUGCAAGUGGUUAUGCUGAUGUUGAUGAAUCGAUUGGUAUUUUGAGACUUGUAUUAUGUCUCCUUUGAGGAGGUUUUAUUUCACCAGGUACACUACAUUAUUUGAUCAUCGUAUUAUGGUUAUUUGAUCACUGUAUUUUAUUAUUUUAUCGCUGUAUUAUCUGGACAAAUUACGAAUAUGCCUACUACUGUAUCAUAAUUACUUGUUGCCUACUCUAUCGACCUUUGCAAAGAUUGCUACUGUUUUGUUGUCUAAACCACUUGCUAUCAAUAUUUCUUAAAGUGUUGUGUAUCUAAUCGUCCUCUAAUAAGCACAUCAGUUAAGUUCAAGUUAACACAAUUACACUCCCAUACAUGUAUACAAUGAUGAUGACCUAUUGUACAUUCUGAUUGCUUGGGUAUUCAUUCUCUGGUGCUCAUAGUCUAAUGGAUGGUAUGAUCACCGCUUAGUAUGUUCUGUUCUGUUUUUGAACUGAAUUAUCUCAACCUUUUAUCUAUGAUUGUGUAGUGGUCUAGGGAUUGCGUAUUAGGAUAUUGAGGAUGGGAUUUUCACAAAUUGCUACAGUCCAAUUAUUUUCUUCCCUUCUACCCUGCUACACGCCAGAUCAUAUGUUAUAAUGGCGUUUGCUGCUGGAGGCACAUCCCGAUUCGUCAAUAGGGCCGAGUGCAUCUGCCUCAUUCACAAGAUAAACGACGCUCCUACCCCCUCCUCUGUUUUCUACCUGCUUGAACAUAUCAGCAAUCUUGCUUGUAUAACUUGUGGAUGGUAGGCCUGGAGUGCUGUCGAAUUCCUUCCUUAGCGCAACUGUUGUUCAGACCGAUUAUAUAUCCAGGUAUGGACUUGAAGUUUAAUGCCACACCUGCUCCAGGAGAGCAGACAACCUUCAAGUGGGACAUUGAUCAUGGGUGUAAAAUGUUAAGCUGAAUGCAAACCGUCGAGAUGGUCCUGGUCGAGGACCUCCAUGGCACCUACGUUGGUGUGGGUUGUGCCGCCUCAUCGCGACCGUCAUCGAUUGGGCCUUCGAGGUUCUUUGUUGUUGGCAUUUUGGUCGUAAUGCAGAUGACUUGGUAAACCGACAUUUUCAAAGUCAAACCCGAGAACCUGGUAUGUGGUAGAAGAUAUAAUGUCGUUAUUUUUCAUGCAUGUUUGAGGACAUGCUUCCACUGUCAUAAAGCAUUAUGGGUAGACUUGGGGACUGUUUAAUUUAAUCCACUACCUAGGUCAUAUAAAAUUAACUCUUUUACUAUUAUGGUAUGUUGCUGUGUAGGUAAUAUCGUUGUGCAGUUUAGUCAUGGUGAAAAUGAAAGAAAACACCUACAUCUCAUUUUUGACAUAGUGGAGCUAUAUGUUGGUUUUAAUGCAUAUACACAACCUUUUGAUAGAAUGCUCUGGUUUCUGAGGUUGAGAAGAUAGGCGCUGUUGUUAUCUUUGUCGUCCACACAUACAAUUUACUUUAGCUUAAUCAAUGUUGUGGUUUUUUAAUGUUAUAUCUGUGACGUCCAUGC